AUGUCAUUCAAGCAUUUCUUUCUUUUAGAUGAAACAGAGUUGAUCUCCCAAAGGAGCAAUACCAAAUCUUCCAGACAAAAGAAAGCAAAGAGCAAAGGGAAGAAGACAAAGAAGAAAAGAGAAAAAAACAAGAGCGAUCAUGGUGCCGCAGGAGGCCCGUGGCUAGAGAAACUGCACAUGUGUGAUAAUUCCAUUGAUGGCUCAGGAAAGGAGGAACUAAAUCAAUUCCUGGAGAUCCUUUGCAUGUAAGUGUCACCUUCUCAGUACAUGACUGAGUAUAUAAUGUCCAAAAUGUCAACUGUCUUUUAUUGGGGACUGGAAUUGUCAACACAUAUGAUCUAUUUCUGACCACAAAACUUCACACAGAUAUGUUUGAAAUGCUUUGACAGCUUUAACGCUGCUGUAAGCAAUGUUUACUUGUACCAGACUAAGCUACUAAAUUAGCUUGUCUUCGCCCUCGGUUUAAAAGUCUGCACCCUUGAUGAGCAUUCCCUGUUACCCUGUUGAAAAAGAAGUGUGCUUGUAGUGUACUUAAAAUGAUACUGUAUAGACUGUAUUUGCAGAUAAUAUAAUAUUAGUAACAUAACAGGCCACUUAAGUGUAGUUAAAGAGAACACUUCCAUGACUGUUUCAUAACAUACUUAUGUGCACUUAUGUCAUGUGUCUUAUCUUAUGUCAUGCUUUCAAGAAGUACACUUAUUUUGAUGACUAAAGCACAUGUAAGGUAUUGAAUUAUAAUUUUAACUGUAAUGUUUUAAACAAUAUUAAGUUUAAAGUAAAUAUAUUUUAAAUGUACUAAAUGUAAACUUCUUUAUUGCAAAUAUGCAAUUAAAUAUAUAUUUAAAUACAUGACGUACAGCAUUAAAGUAUAUUUUAGUUGACCCUAAAUGACUAUCAGUACAUUUGGAGAAAGAAAAUCAAAAUAAUUAUUAAAUUACAUGUAAAGAUGUCCUUAAGACGUACUUAAGUGGGUCAAAAAAGCACUGUAAAGUUCAAGGUUUAAUAUAAAUUUAAAAAGGGUAAAGGAUUGACUCACUGAUGCAAUUAAACAGUUCAAGCAUGAGGCUCAAUUCAUUACAAAAAUCAGCAUGGCAGCAUCAGGGUACAGUUUAGAGUAAAUGGAGGUCAAACUAAAUCUAAAGUCUAACUCUAAAAGUCAUUUAAGUAUAUUUGUCAACAGUCUCUUUAAGUUAGUGCCCAUAAUUUUUGAAACAAUUAUUUAAAAUGUACUUUGACAUUAUUACAAAGUGUACUUUUUAAAAGUGUCAUGAAACAGUUCUCUCUUAAAGUGCACUUAAGUGACCUUCAGUUUCAUUAAUUUUAUAUUAUCUGCAUGUAAAAAUACUUUUAAGAUUUGAGGUACACUUACAGGUGCACUUCUUUUUAUAAGAACAUGCUGUAAGAUUUAGCUGCGUCUGUUCUGUUUAGGAAUAAAUCGUCUUUUGCUUCCUAUAAGUCUUUACUGUCUUCCCAUCAUAUUUUAUGCACAGAGGUCAGAUUCAAUAUAAUGGUUGACCUAGUUAUUAGAGUGCAAAAUAUUUCAGUCAAGAACUUCUGCUUUCAGUUCUCAGGGUGCUUUUUUGUCUACAUAUGAUUUAUCUUCGGUCAAAUUGCUGAUCCCAAAGCCGCACAUAAAUCUGCAUUUACUGUAGGAAGUUUCUAGACAGAUAUUGACAUGCGUAAUAUGUUUAAUGAUAACUAUGAUCAUAGCAGCUAUUAAAAAAUUAAGCAUUUCCCUCGUCUCU
ensembl:lncRNA